AUUGAACGCUGGCGGCAGGCCUAACACAUGCAAGUCGAACGAGUGGCGGACGGGUGAGUAAUGUCUGGGAAACUGCCCGAUGGAGGGGGAUAACUACUGGAAACGGUAGCUAAUACCGCAUACCAUCGGAUGUGCCCAGAUGGGAUUAGCUUGUAGGGGAGGUAACGGCGCACCUAGGCGAGGAUCCCUAGCUGGUCUGAGAGGAUGACCAGCACAACGGGAACGGAGACACGGGCCAGAUUCGGACGCGAGGCAGCAGUUGGGAAUAUGGCACAAGGGGGGAAAGCCUGAUGCAGCCAUGCCGCGUGUAUGAAGAAGGCCUUCGGGGUGUAAAGUACUUUCAGCGGGGAGGCGUUACCCGCAGAAGAAGCACCGGCUAACUCCGUGCCAGCAGCCGCGGUAAUAC
rnacentral:rRNA from 1 species